rnacentral:rRNA from 1 species
CCUACGGGUGGCUGCAGUGAGGAAUAUUGGUCAAUGGGCGAGAGCCUGAACCAGCCAAGUCGCGUGAGGGAGUACUGCCCUAUGGGUUGUAAACCUCUUUUGUCAGGGGGCAAAAGCCGGACGUGUCCGGCUGUGAGAGUACCCUAAGAAAAAGCAUCGGCCAACCCCGUUCCCGGAACCGCGGUAAUACGGAGGAUGCGAGCGUUAGCCCGAUUUUUUGGGUUUAAAGGGGGCGCAGGCGGAUUGUUAAGUCAGCGGUCAAAUCGCGGGGCUCAACCCCAGCGAGCCGUUGAAACUGGGGGUCUUGAGAGGGCGAGAGGUAUGCGGAAUGCGUGGUGUAGCGGUGAAAUGCAUAGAUAUCACGCAGAACCCCGAUUGCGAAGGCAGCAUACCGGUGCACAACUGACGCUCAGGCACGAAAGCGUGGGUAUCGAACAGGAUUAGAUACCCGAGUAGUC